UACGGAGGGUGCAAGCGUUAUCCGGAUUCACUGGGUUUAAAGGGUGCGUAGGCGGGCAUGUAAGUCAGUGGUGAAAUCUCCGAGCUUAACUUGGAAACUGCCGUUGAUACUAUCUGCCUUGAAUAUUGUGGAGGUGAGCGGAAUAUGACAUGUAGCGGUGAAAUGCUUAGAUAUGACAUAGAACACCAAUUGCGAAGGCAGCUCGCUACGCAUAUAUUGACGCUGAGGCACGAAAGCGUGGGGAUCAAACAGG
rnacentral:rRNA from 1 species